GGGGUGUGGAAGGAUACUUGUGACGCUGGAGUGAACUGGAGGGCGUGUUGUGCAUCUGUGCCGCUACUAUCCGGGUUUGCUGGAAGCGGUAGAUGGUUGGAUACGUGAUGGGGUGUUUAUGCUGUGGGGACGCUGUGUAUAUUUACCUUGUUUGGGAUCUUCUCUCCGGGACAUCUGUGUCGUCAAUACUGUUGAAUCUUUGCCCAAUAAACGGACUGAUGCAACAGCGCUUUUGAUGCCCUGGAGAAAC